rfam:Oryza rufipogon genomic scaffold, chr02
UUUAAGUGCAGUUGUGGGUUUCUAUAUCCAAUAUUUGACCGUCCAUCUUAUUUGAAUUUUUUUAUGAUUAGUAUUUUAUUGUUAUUAGAUGAUAAAACGUAAAUAGUAUUUUAUGCGUGACUUUUUUUAUAAUUUUUCAAAUAGAACGGAUGGUCGAAAGUUGGACAUAGGAACCCACAACUGCACUUAAA